UGGGCGGGAGCCUGAACCAGCCAAGUCGCGUGAGGGAAGAAGGUGCUAAGCAUUGUAAACCUUCUUUUGCCGGGGAAACAAAAGAUCCCACGCGUGGGAUUAUGAGUGUACCUGAAAGAAAAAGCAUCGGCUAACUCCGUGCC
rnacentral:rRNA from 1 species